UAAACGGCAUUGACGAAGAAGAGUAGCUUAAUGGAUGCAUUUUAGAGAGCCGGUGGCAGGUGUGAACCGGUAUGUAUCGUUUAGUGAAUGGACUUUCGAGCCCCAAACCGAAACCGCUCGCGGAAGUAGGCCUUGGCGAACGCGCCUUAUCGUUACAAAAGGCAGGCAAAUUAUUAUUGCCGUAAAGUGAGCUUUUAAAGCUAAUAAAGGUGGUACCACGGGUUCCUCGUCCUUUUG
rnacentral:ncRNA from 1 species